UGUGCCCAGAUGGGAUUAGCUAGUAGGUGGGGUAACGGCUCACCAGGCGACGAUCCCUAGCUGGUCUGAGAGGAUGACCAGCCACACUGGAACUGAGACACGGUCCAGACUCCUACGGGAGGCAGCAUG
rnacentral:rRNA from 1 species